UAAAGAGUAUAAAAUUUAGGUAGUAUCAGAUGGCUUGAAACUUAAAAAAUUUGGCGGUGUUUUAAUCUUAUUAGAGGAACCUGUUUUGUAAUCGACAAUACACGAUAAAUCUUACUUGGGCUAGUGCUUGUAUAUCGUUGUGGUAAUAAUAUUUUAUAAUUAUUAUUGAAGGUAAUUUUAUUUUUGAUAUCAGAUCAAGGUUCAGUUUAUGUCCAAGUAGAAAAUGGGUUACAAUAUAAAAAUAUAUUACGGAGUUUGUGUUUUAAGGAUUAAUGAAGGAGGAUCUAAAAGUAUUUUUGUAAUAAUAUGUCAAUUUGAAUUAGCUCUAAAACAUGC
rnacentral:rRNA from 1 species